UCGCCUCGUCGCAGCUGGGUCCCGGCCGCAGGCCCGCCCAGCAGCUCGGGCAGGCCAGCCGCGGCGCCCGGAAAUAGGCGGCGCGUGGCUUGAGGUGCGCGUCUCCUCCCCCUCGGCCACUCGAGGGCGACACCCCAACUGAUGACCCCCUCAAGGGGCUGGAGUUUGAAGAGCAAGAGUGGCUUUGCCCUCAGGGAUGAAUUACCUCUGGAGCGGGACUGGGGAGUACUGUCAACUCGAAAGCGACAGGCGUUUGAUUACUGAGAGGAAACCAAAGGAAGGAAGAUGUAUCUGGGCUCAUGGUUUCAGAGGUUUCCAUCGUAGCCAUUUGAUUUGUCCUGAGUUGAUGGAGCAGACCUUCUCAGCCCCUAGCAGCUGGGAAUCAGACGUGGGAACAAGAUGUGUCUCCCAGGACUAGCUCCCUACGACUUACUUAUUCUAAUGAAGCUUCACCUUCGACUUUCUACAACCUCCCAAUAUUGUGAUUGGUUAUUGAUAAGACAGGUCCUUCAGGAGAUCAUGUCAGAGAUCAAAUGUCAACAGUUUGGCUAUGCCAUGUUACCACAGAUUUAUCAUGGUCACUAAGUCUUAACCUAUGAACUGUUCUAAAAAUAUGAUAGCCUGGGGUGGUGGCACACGCCCUGGAAUCCCAAUCUCGGAAAGCAGAGCUGGAAGGAUUGGCACAAGUUUAAAACCAGCCUGGUCUACAUACCUGGUUCUACUGCCACCUGGACUAUAGAGUGAGACGCUGCUCCCCUAUCUGGUCAGGGAGCAAGCAUACUUGCUGCCAGACUUGACAGCUGGUGUUCAGUCCCUGAAACCUGCGUGGUGGAAGAAAACAGAGUCCCACAAUUGUCCUCCGACCUCCGCAUGCACCGUGGUGAAUGCCUGCACUCCUUCCCAUAAGUCGUUAAAGAAAAAUUCUAAAGCACAGGAAUAAAUACAAGCAGCGUGACGUGUCCUUAA